rnacentral:lncRNA from 1 species
CCUGGAGGCCUCACCCAGCCUCCCAGGGGCAGCUCCUCGGGCCUCAGACCCAGGCGCUCGUCUCCAGAGCGGCCUGUGCUGUGGCUCCUGUCUGACGAGCAGUGUCUCUGGGUCCCUGCCUCCUCAUACAGCACAUCUUUCUGAUGAUCGUCGGCUUUGUCACAAGGAGAGACAACAUCACAGAAGCUGCGCUCAUCAAGGACGGCCCAGGCAGAGAUUCUCAAGGACGACAUGCCUAAACGAUGCCCCACAGACUCGGAGCGGACUGCGCAGUGACCACAGGCAGCUUGUGCGGCUCAGGAGCCCCUUCUGGCCAAGCCCCACUGCCUGCUGUUCUGAAGACCUGCCCUGCACACCCCCGACUCGCCCCAGCUGGAUGGGAGUGAGGACGUGCUGACCGGUGUCCCCGCCUCAGUCCCUUCCAGGUGGAGCCAGGCUCGUCCUGGCUCGGCAGGUGAGUCCCCCUGCCGCUCCUUAGGGGCGGCCCUGACCGCCCACCAACCCUCCCCACAGCUGUCUGCAGACCCCCUCCGCACCCCUUCUAUUUAGUCCAAGCCCCAGGCCCGGGUUGGCCUCUGGGAGCCUCUGAGCGCACGCAGGACAGGCUAACCCCUGGGCCCCAUCUCCAGGGCCCUGCAGGACUGCACGGGAAAUGACAAAACUCGCCCUCUCGGCACAGCCUGAAACUCUUCUCCAAGUGAUUCUGCCGUAGAGACCACUCCGACCCCAGGCCUUCACCCCUCCCAGCGCCGAGGGGGGACGUCCGUCAGGAACAAGCCUCGUGCCCUUCACAAGGUCACCCAGACCACUGAGGCGGGGUCUGCCUCCAUGAACCAGGAGGGGCCGUCAGCUCAAGGUGAGACCAGGCGCCGGCAUCUCUGACUCCCAUUUUCUAACAAGCUCAACGAGUCUACUUGCAGGGACGGUUCUGUUGAGAUGACAAACACUUGCAGGGGUGUUUAAAGAAGAAGAGAUAGAAACUCGGCCCCC